GACGAACGCUGGCGGCGUGCUUAACACAUGCAAGUCGAACGGAAAGGCCCUGCUUUUGUGGGGUGCUCGAGUGGCGAACGGGUGAGUAACACGAGAGUAACCUGCCCUUGACUUUGGGAUAACUUCAGGAAACUGGGGCUAAUACCGGAUAGGCGCUCCUGCUGCAGGGAGGGGGUUGGAAAGUUUCGGCGGUUGGGGCUGGACCCGCGGCUUAUCAGCUUGUGGGUGGGGUAGUGGCUUACCAAGGCUUUGACGGGUAGCCGGCCUGAGAGGGUGACCGGCCACAUUGGGACUGAGAUACGGCCCAGACUCCUACGGGAGGCAGCAGUGGGGAAUAUUGCACAAUGGGCGGAAGCCUGAUGCAGCAACGCCGCGUGCGGGAUGACGGCCUUCGGGUUGUAAACCGCUUUCGCCUGUGACGAAGCGUGAGUGACGGUAAUGGGUAAAGAAGCACCGGCUAACUAUGUG
rnacentral:rRNA from 1 species